rnacentral:rRNA from 1 species
UCAGUCGACUCCUACGGGAGGCAGCAGUGGGGAAUAGUUGCACAAUGGGCGCAAAGCCUGAUGCAGCAACGCCGUGUGAGUGAAGAAGGUUUUCGGAUCGUAAAACUCUGUCCUAAGGGAAGAAACAAAUGACGGUACCUUAGGAGGAAGCCCCGGCUAACUACGUGCCAGCAGCCGCGGUAAUACGUAGGGGGCAAGCGUUAUCCGGAAUCACUGGGCGUAAAGGGUGCGUAGGCGGCUUAGCAAGCCAGGGGUGAAAGGCAUUGGCUCAACCAAUGUAAGCCUUUGGAACUGUUAAGCUUGAGUGCAGGAGAGGUAAGUGGAAUUCCUAGUGUAGAGGUGAAAUUCGUAGAUAUUAGGAGGAACACCAGUGGCGAAGGCGACUUACUGGACUGUAACUGACGCUGAUGCACGAAAGCGUGGGUAGCGAACAGGAUUAGAUACCCUGGUAG